UACGGGGGGGGCAAGCGUUGUUCGGAAUUACUGGGCGUAAAGGGCUCGUAGGUGGCCAACUAAGUCAGACGUGAAAUCCCUCGGCUUAACCGGGGAACUGCGUCUGAUACUGGAUGGCUUGAGAUUGGGAGAGGGAUGCGGAAUUCCAGGUGUAGCGGUGAAAUGCGUAGAUAUCUGGAGGAACACCGGUGGCGAAGGCGGCAUCCUGGACCAACACUGACGCUGAGUGAGCGAAAGCCAGGGGAGCAAACGGG
rnacentral:rRNA from 1 species